UAUAAACAGUCCAAUGCUGCUUAAACACUUAAACUUAGUGACUUUUUGUAUGGAGAAGAGGCUGACCAGCCAUUGAUGUUACCAAGAGAACACAUUGAAUUUCUGCUUAAGCAAGGCCAUACAAUUGCAAAAACUGCUGAAAUACUGGGAUGCUCAUCAUCAUUUCUGUACAAGAAGUCAAAGUUGAUGUGUAUACCUGUUAGAAGUAGGCUGUCUGCAAAAGAUGAUGGUGAACUAGAACAACAUGUGAGGCCACUUCAGAGCCAAUGUCCUAAUUCUGGAAAUUAGAUGAUAAGAGCCCUGUUGCAUGCACAGGGUGUGCUUGUUACCGGUCCAGGGUGCGUGAGAUGUUGACACAGGUGAAUCCUACUGCUGCUGCAAAGAGAUGUAGCCGGACAGUUGCAAGACGUGUUUCUCAUGUACCUUACUCCAAUAGUUUGUGGCACAUUGAUAGGAACAUGCGUCUCAUAAGAUGGGGCUUUGUGAUUCAUGGUGCAAUUGAUGGAUACGCCCGUCUGAUAACUUACCUCAACUGCAGCACAGACAAUACUGCCACAACAGUGCUUUCUCAGUUUUUGAAAGCAACAUGCCUCUUUGCCCUACCGUCAAGAGUCAGAUCUGACCAUGGUGGUGAAAACAUCCUUGUGGCUUUAUUCACGCAUCUAGUUCAAGGACUUGAACACAGAGGUUUCAUAACCGGACAAUCAGUUCACAAUCAAAAAAUUGGAA